rnacentral:rRNA from 1 species
UAGGGAAUUUUGCGCAAUGGGGGAAACCCUGACGCAGCGACGUCGCGUGUGGGAUGAAGGGUCUCGGCUCGUAAACCACUGUCAAAUGGGAAGAUGGGAUCUACAUUUAAUACAUGUAGGUUUUGACUGUACCAUUAAAGGAAGCACCGGCUAACUACGUGCCAGCAGCCGCGGUAAUACGUAGGGUGCUAGCGUUACUCGGAAUCAUUGGGCGUAAAGGGUGCGUAGGCGGAAUUAUAAGUCAGAUGUGAAAGCCUUGGGCUCAACCCAAGAAGUGCAUUUGAUACUGUAAUUCUAGAGUACAGGAGAGGAAGGUGGAAUUCCCGGUGUAGAGGUGAAAUCCGUAGAUAUCGGGAGGAAUACCAGAGGCGAAGGCGGCCUUCUGGACUGACACUGACGC